UUCUCCAGGUGAGACUCGAACUCACAACCUCGGCAUCACUCACAAGUACUGCUUAUAAGUACCGUGCGCAAACCAAUAUCUUUCGUGAGAUGGUACAGUUCAGAUGGAGA